GCACAANGCGGUGGAUGAUGUGGUUUNAAUUCGAUGCAACGCGAAAAACCUUACCUACCCUUGACAUGGCAGGAAUCCUGUAGAGAUAUGGGAGUGCUCGCAAGAGAACCUGCACACAGGUGCUGCAUGGCCGUCGUCAGCUCGUGUCGUGAGAUGUUGGGUUAAGUCCCGCAACGAGCGCAACCCUUGUCAUUAGUUGCUACGAAAGGGCACUCUAAUGAGACUGCCGGUGACAAACCGGAGGAAGGUGGGGAUGACGUCAGGUCCUCAUGGCCCUUAUGGGUAGGGCUACACACGUCAUACAAUGGCCGGGACAGAGGGCUGCCAACCCGCGAGGGGGAGCCAAUCCCAGAAAGCCGAUCGUAGUCCGGAUNGUAGUCUGCAACUCGACUACGUGAAGUCGGAAUCGCUAGUAAUCGCGGAUCAGCAUGUCGCGGUGAAUACGUUCCCGGGUCUUGUACACACCGCCCGUCACACCAUGGGAGCGGGUUCUACCAGAAGCAGUUAGCCUAACCGCAAGGGGGGCGAUUGCCACGGUAGGAUUCGUGACUGGGGUGAAGUCGUAACAAGGUAGCCGUAUCGGAAGGUGCGGCUGGAUCACCUCCUU
rnacentral:rRNA from 1 species